UUGCGGACAGUGCCUGGUGGGUAGUUUGACUGGGGCGGUCUCCUCCCAAAGAGUAACGGAGGAGCACGAAGGUGGGCUAAUCACGGUCGGACAUCGUGAGGUUAGUGCAAUGGCAUAAGCCCGCUUGACUGCGAGAAUGACAAUUCGAGCAGGUGCGAAAGCAGGUCAUAGUGAUCCGGUGGUUCUGAAUGGAAGGGCCAUCGCUCAACGGAUAAAAGGUACUCCGGGGAUAACAGGCUGAUACCGCCCAAGAGUUCAUAUCGACGGCGGUGUUUGGCACCUCGAUGUCGGCUCAUCACAUCCUGGGGCUGAAGUCGGUCCCAAGGGUAUGGCUGUUCGCCAUUUAAAGUGGUACGCGAGCUGGGUUUAGAACGUCGUGAGACAGUUCGGUCCCUAUCUGCCGUGGGCGUUGGAUGAUUGAGAGGGGCUGCUCCUAGUACGAGAGGACCGGAGUGGACGAACCUCUGGUGUUCGGGUUGUCACGCCAGUGGCAUUGCCCGGUAGCUAAGUUCGGAAUCGAUAAGCGCUGAAAGCAUCUAAGCGCGAAGCGAGCCUCAAGAUGAGUCAUCCCUAGACCUUUAAGGUCUCUAAAGGGUUGUUGAAGACUACGACGUAGAUAGGUCAGGUGUGUAAGCGCUGCGAGGCGUUGAGCUAACUGAUACUAAUUGCCCGUGAGGCUUAACCAU
rnacentral:rRNA from 1 species